AAGAAAAAUUGUAUGGUCUGUUUAGGCCGAGAGUAUUUUGUGUUCUUCCAGCUCUUAUCUACUCUACCAUUUCACUGAAACAAACAGAAUAACAGGCAACGGUGAACAAGAUGAGGAUCGGAGCAUUGGGAAUGGUGCAGAAAACUCCAUCGUCGAACUCCAUUUUCCGGCGUACCAGCAACGUCAGACCUACUGUUAGAUGCUUUUCCUCUUCCGGUCAUGUAUCAUUUAUCAAGGAUGUAGCCGUAACUGAGCCUCCUGCGAAUCUUCAUCACUUGCUUAAAAUGCUUCAAACUAGAGGUGAAACCAUUGUUUCUCCUGGAUCCAAGGAAGGAUUAAUCCCCCUUGUAGUUCCCCUAUCAAAAAAUCUUUCAGGUUCUGUAACUGCGUUGCUACGAUGGCCAACUGCUCCUCCGGGAAUGGAGAUGCCAGUUGUGGAAGUUCGCAAGCAUGGAGUGUGGCUUUUAGCCAAGAAUGUAGAUCAAUAUAUACAUAGAAUAUUGGUUGAAGAAGAUGCCAGCUACUCCGGUGGAAGCAAUGGCGAACUCUAUAAUGCUUCUUCAGAGGCUGGUGAGAAACUAUACAGAAGAGGUGAUUUUGCUGAGUCUCAGAUUGCUAAAGUUGACCAAUACAUCUUGAAAAAGGUUGGGCUGUUCCCCGAUAUCUUAGAACAUAAAGUUAGGGGUCACUUUGAGCAAGAGGACCACGUUUCAGCAAUGGUGACAGGAGAGUUCUAUACGAGGAAGAACUUAUUUCCAGGAUUUGGCCGGCCUUUUGUAUUCUAUGCAGAGGUUUUGCUGAAAGUUGGACGAACCUCAGAAGCUAAAGACGCUGCAAGGGUAGCUUUGAAGUCACCAUGGUGGACUUUAGGUUGUGCUUACCAGAUUUUUAUGAUCAACCACUUCCAACAUUCCCACUUGUCCCGUUUGGUGUGGGAAUUACUGUUAAUCUUGUUAAGGAAGUUGCCAGCCUUGCGCAAUGGGACGAUGAGCAGAUUGAAUACAUCAAGGAGAAGGUGAGUGAAGAGGGUAAACAAGCAGAUUUGAAGAAAGGAAAGGCUCCCGCCCAGAUUGCAUUGGACGAGGCUGCUUUUUUAUUGGAUUUAGCUUCCAUAGAAGGAACUUGGGAUGAAGUGAUAGAACGAAUAGCAGAAUCUUAUAGCGAGGCUGGAUUUUAUGAUAUUGCAAAAUUUAUACGGUACAAAGAUUGAUAGUCGACCAAGUAAGGAUCGCGAUUUAUAUUUGAUAAUCCUAUUUUUCUGUUCA